AUUGAACGCUGGCGGCAGGCCUAACACAUGCAAGUCGAACGGUAACAGGAAGCAGCUUGCUGCUUUGCUGACGAGUGGCGGACGGGUGAGUAAUGUCUGGGAAACUGCCCGAUGGAGGGGGAUAACUACUGGAAACGGUAGCUAAUACCGCAUAACGUCGCAAGACCAAAGAGGGGGACCUUAGGGCCUCUUGCCAUCGGAUGUGCCCAGAUGGGAUUAGCUAGUAGGUGGGGUAACGGCUCACCUAGGCGACGAUCCCUAGCUGGUCUGAGAGGAUGACCAGCCACACUGGAACUGAGACACGGUCCAGACUCCUACGGGAGGCAGCAGUGGGGAAUAUUGCACAAUGGGCGCAAGCCUGAUGCAGCCAUGCCGCGGGUAUGAAGAAGGCCUUCGGGUUGUAAAGUACUUUCAGCGGGGAGGAAGGGAGUAAAGUUAAUACCUUUGCUCAUUGACGUUACCCGCAGAAGAAGCACCGGCUAACUCCGU
rnacentral:rRNA from 1 species